UGAUGUUUUAGUUUAAGGUUAUGCGAACUCUUAAGUAAAACCCAGUAUUGCAUCAUACUUCAGGGCACAAAAGAACGUCUGUUGAAGCCCUCAUUACUUCACCGGACACGUCUGUGCAGAUAAUGCUGCAUAAAUACUCAAGAAAAUAUACUUUUUGCUGUUUUUGUCUGUGUUUGGCUAAUACUUUAACCUCAGGCAGAGAGCUCCCAGCACAGUUGCCACAAUACUGGAAACUGUUUACCUACCUGUAAGACUUACCUGCCUUGCCUCGUGGAGAUCCAUGCUUGCAGCCCUGCACCCUCCGCUGAAAUCCAUAUUCUCUGGUUGCUGUCUCUUCACCUCUCCUGGAACCGAGCCUGCCCUCUGGCUCUUCUUCUCAUUGCUCUAACUCAUCACAAACCCUCUCAGACGGUAUGCAUAGCUUCCAGCCCAAGGGUGUCAAAA